rnacentral:rRNA from 1 species
GACGAACGCUGGCGGCGUGCCUAAUACAUGCAAGUCGAGCGAAUCAAUAGGAGCUUGCUCCUGUUGGUUAGCGGCGGACGGGUGAGUAACACGUGGGCAACCUGCCUGUAAGACUGGGAUAACACCGGGAAACCGGUGCUAAUACCGGACAAUCCUUUUCCUCUCAUGAGGAAAAGCUGAAAGUCGGUUUCGGCUGACACUUACAGAUGGGCCCGCGGCGCAUUAGCUAGUUGGUGAGGUAACGGCUCACCAAGGCGACGAUGCGUAGCCGACCUGAGAGGGUGAUCGGCCACACUGGGACUGAGACACGGCCCAGACUCCUACGGGAGGCAGCAGUAGGGAAUCUUCCACAAUGGACGAAAGUCUGAUGGAGCAACGCCGCGUGAGCGAUGAAGGCCUUCGUGUCGUAAAGCUCUGUUGUUAGGGAAGAACAAGUACCGGAGUAACUGCCGGUACCUUGACGGUACCUAACCAGAAAGCCACGGCUAACUACGUGCCAGCCGCCGCCGUAACAC